ACCCUUGUGGAGGAGGACGCCGAAGGUGGGGCUAAUGACUGGGGUGAAGUCGUAACAAGGUAGCCGUACCGGAAGGUGCGGCUGGAUCACCUCCUAACAGGGAGACAACAAAAUGUUCAAUAUUAUUUUGUCACCUUAGGUCGAUCGGUAUCUCACGUUCUUUAUUUUUUAAGAAUUUCAUUUCCUAAGUUUUUCUAGGUCACACCCAUUAUUUUUCCUGGGCCAUUAGCUCAGGUGGUUAGAGCGCACCCCUGAUAAGGGUGAGGUCCCUGGUUCAAGUCCAGGAUGGCCCAUAUCUCUAUGUUGGGGGUAUAGCUCAGUUGGUAGAGCGCCUGCUUUGCAAGCAGGAUGUCAGCGGUUCGAGUCCGCUUACCUCCACUGAUUACCACCUCUUCCAUAAUCUAUAGAAAGGAAAUUUUUUGAGAUGUGAUCAAUUUCUGAACGAAUCUAGCUUCCUAGUAAAAUUAUUAAGAUGCUGGACUCAUUGAAUUAAUUUCAUUGUUUUCAGAGAACCUUGACAACUGCAUAGAUUAUUUUUAAAGACAAUAAGCAUCUUUAAUGAUGCAGAUUUAUUAUUUGUGCAAAUGCAUUAAUAACAAUUCUAUUAAGCUGAUGCUUCAAUUUUGAAGUUAUUGGUCAAGCUACAAAGGGCUCACGGAGGAUACCUAGGCACACAGAGGCGAUGA
rnacentral:sRNA from 1 species